rnacentral:rRNA from 1 species
UACGAAGGGGGCUAGCGUUGUUCGGAAUUACUGGGCGUAAAGCGCGCGCAGGCGGUUCUCCAAGUCAGUGGUGAAAGCCCGGAGCUCAACUCCGGAACUGCCAUUGAAACUGUUGAACUUGAGGACGAGAGAGGUGAGUGGAAUUCCCAGUGUAGAGGUGAAAUUCGCAGAUAUUGGGAAGAACACCAGUGGCGAAGGCGGCUCACUGGCUCGUAUCUGACGCUCAGGCGCGAUAGCGUGGGGAUCAAACAGG